AUAAAACAGAGUGCACAUUUGUAGGGGCACAGAAACUGUUUCACUGAGACAAUCCCCAGCCACAGCAUGCACGCCCUCCUGUUCUUCGCUCUGCUAGUGGUCACCGGAUCGUUGACCACGGUCAGUGAAGCACGCUGCCCGCAACCGUCAGGAAGCUCCGACUGCUCCCACACGACGUGCACGGACCAGGAAUGCGCCGCCAAAGGCCUAGAGUGCUGCCCUAAGCCAUGCGGUGGUACCUGGUGUGUUAAAGGAGUCUAAGACGCACCCGAGCGUCCUGAGACUUCUUCUGUGGCGUCUUCUCCGCGUGCUGCCAGUUGCACAAGACGCCAUUCUGAAGAGAUGCCUCAAGAGAGUGGGGGACUGAACUUCAUUGGCAAGGUGUCCGUAGGCAAUCCAUAGAGUAUCGCGACCGCCUUCGCUAACGGGAGCGCAAUGUGGUCAAUAAUUGUACUAUUACGAAGAUGAAAUAAAUUCGAUGUACAUG
rnacentral:lncRNA from 1 species